rnacentral:rRNA from 1 species
AAGAAUUGGCGGGGGGCCCCCACGAGCGGUGGAGCAUGUGGUUUUAAUUCGAUGCAACGCGAAGAACCUUACCUACUCUUGACAUCCAGCGAACUUUCCAGAGAUGGAUUGGUGCCUUCGGGAACGCUGAGACAGGUGCUGCAUGGCUGUCGUCAGCUCGUGUUGUGAAAUGUUGGGUUAAGUCCCGCAACGAGCGCAACCCUUAUCCUUUGUUGCCAGCGAUUCGGUCGGGAACUCAAAGGAGACUGCCGGUGAUAAACCGGAGGAAGGUGGGGAUGACGUCAAGUCAUCAUGGCCCUUACGAGUAGGGCUACACACGUGCUACAAUGGCGCAUACAAAGAGAAGCGACCUCGCGAGAGCAAGCGGACCUCACAAAGUGCGUCGUAGUCCGGAUCGGAGUCUGCAACUCGACUCCGUGAAGUCGGAAUCGCUAGUAAUCGUGGAUCAGAAUGCCACGGUGAAUACGUUCCCGGGCCUUGUACACACCGCCCGUCACACCAUGGGAGUGGGUUGCAAAAGAAGUAGGUAGCUUAACCUUCGGGAGGGCGCUUACCACUUUGUGAUUCAUGACUGGGGUGAAGUCGUAACAAGUGCAUGCU